AGAGCGAACGCUGGCGGCAGGCCUAACACAUGCAAGUCGAGCGCCCGUAGCAAUACGGGAGCGGCAGACGGGAUAGUAACACGUGGGAACGCGCCCUUCGGUUCGGAAUAACUCAGGGAAACUUGAGCUAAUACCGAAUACGCCCUUACGGGGAAAGAUUUAUUGCCGAAGGAACGGCCCGCGUCCGAUUAGCUAGUUGGUGAGGUAAUGGCUCACCAAGGCUACGAUCGGUAGCUGGUCUGAGAGGAUGACCAGCAUCACUGGGACUGAGACACGGCCCAGACUCCUACGGGAGGCAGCAGUGGGGAAUAUUGGACAAUGGGGGCAACCCUGAUCCAGCAAUGCCGCGUGGGUGAAGAAGGUCUUCGGAUUGUAAAGCCCUUUUGGCAGGGACGAUGAUGACGGUACCUGCAGAAUAAGCCCCGGCUAACUUCGUGCCAGCAGCCGC
rnacentral:rRNA from 1 species